rnacentral:rRNA from 1 species
AGUGAACGCUGGCGGUAGGCCUAACACAUGCAAGUCGAACGGCAGCACAGUAAGAGCUUGCUCUUACGGGUGGCGAGUGGCGGACGGGUGAGGAGUACAUCGGAAUCUACUUUUUCGUGGGGGAUAACGUAGGGAAACUUACGCUAAUACCGCAUACGACCUACGGGUGAAAGCAGGGGAUCUUCGGACCUUGCGCGAUUGAAUGAGCCGAUGUCGGAUUAGCUAGUUGGCGGGGUAAAGGCCCACCAAGGCGACGAUCCGUAGCUGGUCUGAGAGGAUGAACAGCCACACUGGAACUGAGACACGGUCCAGACUCCUACGGGAGGCAGCAGUGGGGAAUAUUGGACAAUGGGCGCAAGCCUGAUCCAGCCAUACCGCGUGGGUGAAGAAGGCCUUCGGGUUGUAAAGCCCUUUUGUUGGGAAAGAAAAGCAGCAGGUUAAUACCCCGCUGUUCUGACGGUACCCAAAGAAUAAGCACCGGCUAACUUCGUG